AUUAGCUGGGCGUGGUGGCAGGUGCCUGUAAUCCCAGCUACUUGGGAAGCUGAGGCAGGAGAAUCGCUUAAACCCAGGAAGUGGAGGUUGCAGUGAGCAGAGAUCACACCAUUGCACUCCAGCCUCCGCAAUAAGAGUGAAACUCCGUCUGGAAAACAAACAAACAAAAACCUAGAUGAUGGGGGUGAGGUUAGGGGGAUGCUUUUUGGGUUAAUAAUUCCUUCAAGGAAUAAUGUUUGGAGGACAGGGCUUGGAAAAGUGCUAAUCCCAGCAAGAGCCGCCUUCCCAGCUUGGCCCGAGGAGCCACAUCACCACGCAGCAGCCCCCACGAUGCACAGUAGUGGUAGGAAGCUUGGCCCCUCUCUCCCCGCAGAGGCACGUCGUCCAUUGUUCUGCCCUGGGCCUCGGGCACCCACCCCCAGAAGCGGCCCCAUCAGCACAGACAGGAAGUGCACCUUGCUGGUGAGCAGGUCUGCUGCUUGUCAGUCAGCGCUGGGUUUCCCCAGACACUGAUGGGCAGCCUUUUUGGAAAAUAAGAAUCAGAAGACUCCAACACGUGCACCCAAGAAAUGUCACCUUCUGCUUUACAAAGGGUGUACCCUUCAUGGCAACAGGCCCAGCCGCACAGAGCUUCCUCAGAGCCAGUGUCCUGGGAGAGGCCUGUCAUGUGCCAGGGUCAGCUGCUGGGAUUCUCCUGGGUUUUGUGUUAAGCUGGGCCAAUGUGGUGACACGGGGAACGCCAGGAAGGUGUGAGAGGAGAGGAACCGACUCUUGGCUGUUACAGCGGCUGUUUGCAGGUUCAGGUGUGGCCGAGAGGGGUGCAGAAGGGUGGGCUGCCAUCAUUUCAUGCCUGGAAAGUCACUUCCACAGCAAGAGGCCCGCUCCAUGCCUUGCCAGGCCCUCCCGUCACCGUGACCCUCCGGCUCCCAGGACCACCAGGAGCACAGGUUGGGGCAGAGGUGGUAUCAGCAGAUGAGAGUCUUGAAGUGGCUGGGGCCAGGCGGGCCUGGCUGAGGUUCAGUUGGGUCCUGAUUCUCUGGAAUACCUUGGGGAAGUCCCCGAGGAGGCAACACACUCAUGUGGGGAACUUUUCCCCUCCACUGCCAUGAAAAAAACUCCCUAGAAGGGAUGAGGGGUGCAGACAGCACCCUGGCUGGUGGCAUUUGAUGUGUCUGGGAAGGCCCCUUCUAUCCCCAAAGACCUCCCAUUAGAUGGCAGGGUGGUCAACCUGAGCACGGCCAACAGCCAUUGGGCGCUGAUGCAUGGCGAGAACUGGCAGAGGACCUUUUCUUUUGAAAUCACGUCCUCACCACCAUCUUGUGAGAUAGGUUUUACUAUGAUCCUCGCUUUCAGAUGAAGACACUGAACUCUAGUCUGACAGCCAGGAGGCAGCCAGGUCAGGACUGGAAUGCAAGCAGCCUGACCCCAGUCACAGGCAAGGUGCGCCUACAGUCACCCCAGUGCCUUUGAGGGGGAAUCACGAGAGGAGGGUGAAACCCACGCAGUGCCAGCAAUCACGUGCCACUGUGUUGAAGUUCUUCCCUGAGGAUGGGCGUGCAUUCGAUUAGAGGCCUUGUAGAGUGUGGGAAGGUAGGGAGUGGCAGAGAUUCACUUCUUGCUUCUUGCAACCAAAGGGUUGCAGCAGGACAACCACGCACGCCUCUGCCCGGACCUUUCUGCCUUAGCCUGCAGUAACUGGCUGGGCACUGGGUGUCCUGGGCCCUGGGUUGCCCCCCGCAGGAAUAUAGAGUUGCCUGUGUGUGCAGUGGUGGGUGCUUUCUGUUCUCGAUGCUCCAUCUCUGUGAAAGAUGAGCUCUGCAUGUCCCACAAGGUAUCUUCAGAAGCACAGAGAUUUGCUGUGCUUGUCCAAGAAAGCACCCUAUGUGUUCAGAGUGGCCGAGACGGGACCUCUCCCACAGCCUGGCACCAGGUCCUGGCAGGAAGCAGCCCAGUCUGAAGAACUCAGACAAAGAGAGGCUCAUCAAGACCAGGCAAGAGAAGCAGCAGUGGGUGUCAGAGCAACCAGACUGGCAGGAGCUCCCUCCAACCCCUGAGGCUGAGGGGCAGGGCUGGGCAAUGGUAGCACCUGAGCCCAUUAGGACCUGGACCCUGGAGGGAGCCGGCAGGCCCUGGGCAAGGCAGGCUUUAAGAAGUGCAGCGAGGAAGAGUCUGUGUGGGGUGGCCUGGGUGGUGGGCACGGAGCCGGGUGGUUGCCUUUCACACAGGCAGCCCUGGCCCUCAGCCAUGGGUGGGGCUGGCACCUCAGUGAUUGGAUGGAGGAAGUGCUACCAGCUUCUGAGAAGCAUCUGAGUGUCAACAAGCUGACACUAAAAGGGGGUCUGAGUGGGGAGUCUCUGCUCUCCUACACAAUGUGCUCCAGAAAUGUGCUAUUCGGAGCUUUGCCUGUGACCCCCUGCUUCGGAAGCAUUCCUGCCCAUGUGCCCCACUGAUCUCUGCUUUUCCUGGCAGCCUGUCUGGAGAACCGACCCCUCCCAGGGAAGGUCAUCUGUGUUAUGGGCGUGGGAGCAUCUGCUAUGAACUGUGUCCUCGUAAGAGACCCCCAUGAAGAGGGGGUGGCCUCAUCUGCGGCCCCAUUGGCCGCUGUGCCCACAGCCCACAGUGAGAGCAAGGUUGGCACCACACAGAUUGCCAUGAGGGAAAGGAAUAUUUAAUCUGGGCAGCCUCUGUUCGGAGGAGGUGGGGAGAGAAGGCAGUCACUCUGGAAUAUUCCAUGAACAGAGUGGAGCCUCGAAGCCUGGAGCGCAGGCAGGGAGGUGCACCGGGCGGAGAGGCCCACAGGGGCUGCUCGGUGGGGGGGGGUACCCUGGGCGAGGAGGGGGGUCUGGGAAGAGGGGUGAGGGCACCGGGGCAUGAAUGGCCUGCAGGUAAAGGCCCAGAACUGGCAUGGCCUUGGCAUCACACUUGCAAACGCUGAGGACCUAUCCUGGGGAGACCAGAGACUAGAAGGCAAGAAGGGCUGGUUUCCAGGUGCCUGCCCAGGAAGCUCCUGUGCUGUGGGCUGUGGGCGGCUGUGGAAGGCCCUGGGGCUUGAUUUAGGCCUGGGGAUGCUGGGCUGGCGGCUGCGAGGGAAGAGCAGUCAGGAGCAGGAACCACUGCCUGGACUGGACGCCUCAGGGACCUCUCCAUGGAAGAAUUGAACAAAUGAGGUGACAAUGUGGGGGCCAUCGCCAUCAUCUCCUUGUGACUGGCUGCGGUGGCUUGGGUUCUCCAGAAGCAGAAGCAGCAUUAGGGGUGCAGACGGCACACUGGGGGGUUUACACCUGUGACAAGAGGAGGAGGCCGCUGGGUCCUCCAACUACAGCUCGGUCCCACCUCCUCUCCACCAGCCCCAUGGGCGCUGCCAGCAGGGACUGCCCUUCUGAGGAGCCAGGGUUGGGGAAGGGUGCAGAGAUGCCCGGCCCUGUGCCCCAACCUCACCUGGGUGUGACCAGAGUAGCACGUACCUCCAGAAGAGGCUGGAGCUCAGGGGCACCCACCAUGCUCCCAAACUACCUCUACAAAAACGAACAAAAAACUGCAGUGCACCUCUGUUGAGCGAUAUGAUCUGAUUGAAAUAUUUGUCACGCAGCACGCCCUCUUUCUGUGCCAAGAAUCGCCACGUGCAUGUCCCUUUUUUACUGUAAUAUUUAUUUUAUUUUCUUGGUUUUUUUUAACUGGUAUGAUAAAUAUAAAAUUCAAUAAAAGAAAAGCUUUACUGCAUGCGUUUUUUCUAUCCCUUAUUUUAUCCCAUGGUUAUUAAUGAUUGUCAUAUAGAAGGGUGUCAUUAAUCGGAUUUCCCUGACACCUGACACACUUGCCAACUGGUUCCAUUUCAUUUUUUCUACAGAAACAGAAGUGAAAAGGUCUUGAAAAUUAUCUGACUUUUCACAGCUUCUUUCAUUCUUUCUAGUCCUUUCUUCAAAGAUAACUGAAGGUGACUGGUGAUUGUUGAG
rnacentral:lncRNA from 1 species